CAGGCCAUUUGCAAGAGCAACUCUGUGCCUGCAGCAGCUGCCUCUCGGGGGGUAAAUGCUAGAGAAGAGCUGGGCCUGUGGAGCUGUGUUAACUGGCAUUUCAAAGACUUGUAGAGAAUCUGUAAGUCCAUUCAGAGACCAAAGGGAGCACGCUGUUGCUGGAAAAAGAGAGGAGGUUCAAAGACAAGGGGCUUCAUGGUGCUGUGAUUCUGUAUGAACACAAAGGUCUCCUUUAGGUACUGCAAAACACCGCUUGCUGUGCCUUUGAUCCUACUGUCCAUGUCACUGACAAAGAGGCUGAACAGCACCAGUCCCAGUAUCAACCCCAAGGAACUCCAGAUGUCACACGUCUCUGCUUGGACCAGUGAGCCCUUGAGAACCACUUCUUCAGCCAGUUCCCUAUCCACUGAGUGGUUCUUCUCACAGAUCCAUCUCUCUCCAGUUCAAGGAUGAGGAUAUCCUGUGGGACAGUAUCAAAUGCUUUGCGCAAGACCAGGAGCCUGUCCCAAGAAAGGAUUCCUGAUGGGAUAUUUCCUGUUCACAUUACUGUCUUUCUCAUGAGAAUCCACUCUCAGACCCCAUGCCUCCUUGUGGACUCUGACAGAUGGUGGCAUCCAACUGGACCCUGACUGAGCAAAGUAAGGAGGAGUCAGUGACAUGAGACGAUACUGGUGGUGCUGGAGUGUGAGGCACAAUCCACAGCCAACACUCAUGUUACAAGAACUGCAACAAGAAAAAAAAGUACUUAUGUGAUUGCUUGUGGCCACUCCA